UACGUAGGGUGCAAGCGUUAUCCGGAUUUACUGGGUUUAAAGGGUGCGUAGGUGGGCAGGUAAGUCAGUGGUGAAAUCUCCGGGCUUAACCCGGAAACUGCCAUUGAUACUAUCUGUCUUGAAUUUCCUGGAGGUAAGCGGAAUAUGUCAUGUAGCGGUGAAAUGCUUAGAUAUGACAUAGAACACCAAUUGCGAAGGCAGCUUACUACGGGAAUAUUGACACUGAGGCACGAAAGCGUGGGGAUCAAACAGG
rnacentral:rRNA from 1 species